UACGGAGGGUGCGAGCGUUGUCCGGAAUUAUUGGGCGUAAAGGGCGCGUAGGCGGUGCGGUAAGUCUGUAGUGAAAUCUCUGGGCUCAACUCAGAGUCUGCUGCAGAAACUGCCGUGCUUGAGUGUGGGAGAGGUGAGUGGAAUUCCCGGUGUAGCGGUGAAACGCGUAGAUAUCGGGAGGAACACCUGUGGCGAAAGCGGCUCACUGGACCACAACUGACGCUGAGGCGCGAAAGCUAGGGGAGCAAACAGG
rnacentral:rRNA from 1 species